UGGCGGGGGCCUAACCCGGGCAAGUCGACCGGAAGGCCCUUUCGGGGGGUACUCGAGCGGCGAACGGGUGACUAAAAGAAGAGGGGGGCAGCCCUUGGCUUCGGGAUAACCACCGGAAACUUAGGAUAAAAAAACGAUACGACCACUUCAGGCAUCUGAUGGUGGUGGAAAGUUCCGGCGGUGGAGGAUGAGCUCGCGGCCUCUCUUCUUGUUGGUGGGGUAAUGGCCUACCAAGGCAACGACGGGUAGCCGGCCUGAGAGGGUGACCGGCCACACUGGGACUGAGACACGGCCCAGACUCCUACGGGAGGCAGCAGUGGGGAGUAUUGGACAAUGGGCGAAAGCCUGAUCCAGCAACGCCGCGUGAGGGAUGACGGCCUUCGGGUUGUAAACCUCUUUCAGCAGGGACGAAGCGCAAGUGACGGUACCUGCAGAAGAAGCACCGGCCAACUACGUGCCAUCUUCCGCGGUAAUA
rnacentral:rRNA from 1 species